GACGAACGCUGGCGGCGUGCUUAACACAUGCAAGCCGAACGAUGAACCCGGAGCUUGCUCCGGUGGAUUAGUGGCGAACGGGUGAGUAACACGUGAGUAACCUGCCCUUGACUCUGGGAUAACUGCGGGAAACUGUAGCUAAUACCGGAUACGACCCUCGGCGGCAUCGCCAGGGGGUGGAAAGAAUUUCGGUCAAGGAUGGACUCGCGGCCUAUCAGCUAGUUGGUGAGGUAACGGCUCACCAAGGCGACGACGGGUAGCCGGCCUGAGAGGGAGACCGGCCACACUGGGACUGCGCCACGGCCCAGACUCCGACGGGAGGCAGCAGUGGGGAAUAUUGCACAGUGGGCGCAAGCCUGAUGCAGCAGCGCCGCGUGAGGGAUGACGGCCUUCGGGUUGUAAACCGCUUUUAGUAGGGAAGAAGCGAAAGUGACGGUACCUGCAGAAAAAGCACCGGCUAACUACGUGCCAGCCGCCGCCGUAA
rnacentral:rRNA from 1 species